GGGGUGGUGGCGCAGUUGGUUAGCGCGUAGGUCUCAUAGCUGAACUUGAAUUAUCCUGAGGUCGAAGAGUUCGAGCCUCUCUCACCCCA
rnacentral:tRNA from 1 species